CCUACGGGUGGCAGCAGUGAGGAAUAUUGGUCAAUGGGCGCAAGUCUGAACCAGCAACGCCGCGUGCAGGAUGACGGCUCUCUGAGUUGUAACCUGUUUUUGUACGGGAGUAAAGCACGAUACGUGUCUUGGGUAGAAAGUAUCGUACGAAUAAGGAUCGGCCAACUCCGUGCCAGCAGCCGCGGUAAUACGGAGGAUCCGAGCGUUAUCCGGAUUUAUUGGGUGUAAAGGGUGCGUAGGGGGGGUGAUAAGUUAGAGGUGAAAUGUCGUGGCUCAACCCCGAAACUGCCUCUGAUACUGUUGGACUAGAGUAUAGGUGCGGUAGGCGGAAUGUAUGGUGUAGCGGUGAAAUGCGUAGAGAUCA
rnacentral:rRNA from 1 species